AGGAGCUGAGCUAAAAACUGGGCUUCAAACCAUCAAGCGUGGAGCAAGGCUGCCACCUUGUGGACAAAUCAGCCCUCCUCCUUUGGGCUGUGGACCAGGUCUGGUUGGACUCCAGCACUGUUGCUGUGACCGCCUGCCAGCCAUGCUCGACAAAGUGCCGGACCAGGGGUAUGAGUAUGUUAGCUGAGGAGGAGUAUGUCGUGAUCAGAGGGAGCAUUGGGGAUGUAUCUCGUGGCCUAGGAUGCAGGAAGGAUCUCCUGCACGACCUGAGAAAAGACCUCGAGUAGCCCCGUUUACCAAGGACCUUGAAAAGGAUUCCCACUGCCUCCUCGAAAUCUGCGUGUUGGGUGCAUAUUCUGUGGAAUCUAAGGAGCUGUGAUUUGAUUAGACCGGCGUAGGUGUGUUUGGGGUGGAAACUGGUUUUAUAAAGUAGUGCGUGUGUGUCUGUGGGUUUAAAGUAAACUUUGAUGUCCAA